GAGAUUGAAGGAAACAGAUGACCAUCCGUAGAUUGUUGGAAGAGAUUACCACGUAUGGAAAGGAAGAUGAGAUGAGCUGGAUUCCGCGUAGUGAUAUUGAAUUAGAAAUACUUACAUUUUAAUGUAGGCCUGUUUAGGUAUUCUUGCUUUGUUUGUGCCUUAUUUUAGCAAAAGUUUGCAAAUGCAGUAUUAAGAGAGGAACUGAAGGUAGUGGAGUCAGCCCAGCAACAGAGCGAUGCAAUCCUGCAUGAGUUUACAGAUCUUUGGAAAGCCAUGAGGCAAAGUAAAGUUUCAGAUUUACGAGAGGCCUUUGUUUUUACCCUGAACCGAAUUCAUCAGUGUCUGGAAAUAACAGAGGAGAUUGGGCACUUGUCACAGAAUUCAGAUGAUUUUCCCAAGAAGGACACGGUGCAUAGGUCCCUGGAUAUGGAGAUUGCAAUGCUAGGACAGGAAAGCACUGAAAAAGGAAAGCUUAACUGAAAUAUGUGCACAACAUCUACCUACCUCUCACAGCAGAACCAGGAGAAAGACUAUGAUGUAUUUAGCUUUUGCUUCAAAGGAAGACUUCCUCAGUGAAAUAUCUCGCGUCUCACGAACAUGACUGAGUGGAUCCCAACUUUCAGGAAUAAAAAUCCCAUCACGUUCGUCACUAGCUGCAGAUGUGGUUUUUCUUUCAGAAGUUGUAGAGUGAGCUAUAAGUCAAGCAGACGGUCAGUUGUGUAGGUAUGUGGAUUGUUCUCUGCAGUUUGUAUCCAGGGAUUCUUGUCUGGAUGUCAUAACUUUGGAAUUAUCGGUGAAGUCUGCAGUGUAUAACUGUAGAAUUGACUGUGGAGAUUGUAACUAAGCAUACGUGUUUAGAGUAUGUGACUGUGGAAAUAUCUGUGGAGAUUGUAACUGUGGAAUGAUAUCUGAAGUCUAUGUGUGGAUUUACCUCUGUGGUUUGUAACUAAGCAUUCAUGUUUAGAUUAUGUAACUAUGGAAAUAUCUGUGGAGAUUGUAACUGUGGAAUGAUAUCUGAAGUCUGUGCGUGGAUUUACCUCUGUGGUUUGUAACUAAGCAUUCAUGUCUAGAUUAUGUAACUAUGGAAAUAUCUCCGAAGUCUGUAAGUGUGGAUUUACCGCUAGUUUGUAACCAUGUGUUAACGUUUGGUGUUUGUAGCUCUGGAAUCAUCACUGGAAUUUGUAAAUGUGGACUUACCUCUGGAAUUUGUAAAUAGAGAUAAGUUGAAAAAUAACAAUACAGAGCAAAUGGCUGUUGUGAAUUGGGACAGUCAUCUGAUCUUGAUAAUUGUAUCUAAUCAAACAUGCCGCUAUUAAAUUGCGCAAAGUAAGCUGUGAUACAGCCUUUACCCGUUCACUCCAUGAAUUGAAGGUUGUAACACAAAACUUCUACAUUAGACAUCAUUUUGAGAUCUUUUACAAUACUUUAGUUACGUGUAAUGGUAGGGGUGUGGUUCACGUACCCUGGGAUAUCCAUCCUCAUCCAGGAAGUUGUCAUUUGUGUUGGUGAAUGUUGCUAGUAUUCUAUUGAUAUUAUCUUUGGCGAUAAAAAUGCAUGAUUGAAAAAGCCAGGACAUUUUGUUCAAGCCUUAUGCCAAUGUCUUAUAUGUACAUCAGCAUCAGCCCGGUUUACCACAAUAAAAUGGUCAGUCCGGACACUUUGUAUAGGUGUGGUCAGCUGUGAACAUUAAAAUAAGAAUUACUCACACUGAAAUUGGACAAGACAGGCCGGGUUUACUGUAACAGAGGUUGCCUCAAGUGCUAAAACGAUUACCAUUUCGACAUAUGUUUUAUGUGUUGUCAUGGUCAAUACGCCAGGCACAUAUACAUUUAGGUACAGGAGAUUAGUAGGCACAAUCAACUGUUUUCCAUUUCGAAACUUUACAAAACAUCCUGCAGGUGUGAAUAGGACCCAGCAAUGACUAAGCACCACAACAAAUAUAAUAUAUAAAAAUUGUAAAAAAAGGCGAAGUCACCCAGGGCAAAGUUAGAUGUGAACAAGGCUGUGAUUUUUAUUGGUGGAAAAUAAACCACACCUUCCCGAUUACCUGACUAACAGAAGUACUCAGCAGCAGUCAAAACCAACCAGCUGUAUUCACAUUUCCGACCACUUUGGACCUUGACGAGUUAUGUCUGGCAGAAUGUUGUUCAGCCAAAUGGACGGCUCUGAAUCAAUGUAGGAAUGCAUUUAGUAACGACUCAAAUGCAACUCAUUUUUGUGUUUUGCUGAACCAACUCCAAAAAUUCUGAAUUUUUUUAGGUAGUACCUCCCAGUAAGUGUAAGCACAAAUUGUAAAACCAGAUUUCACCUACGACUCGGUACAUACGCUAUGGACAUCUUAGCCCGUUUCACAUCACAUGCGGAGUGAACUGCAGAAAGGGGCAUGUAGCGGUUUGCUUGUUUUGAUUGGGCACAAUGCAAUCUGUCACAAUGGUGUAGCCCAAGUCAUCAGCACAGCUGUAGUGAGACCAAGUGAACCAGCAAGGACCAUUGUGUAUCAGAAUGAAAUGUAAAAUUAGGUUGAUCGCUCAUCAUGCUCAAACUGUCCUAUUAAUUCUCAAGAUCACAGUAUAUUUUUUUGAUGUUUCACCUAUAUGACGGUGGCCAGCAGGAAUCACAGCAGACGCAAGGAACAAAUAACAAAAGAAACAUGGACUUCAUAGUAUUAUAUUUUGACAGGUCCAAACAUCCAUAUUUGUAGACUUGUGUACUAGCCCAAAACUUCUCAUAAAACUCAGCAAAACGUGUCAUUGUGUCCCAUUUACUGACAUCUCAAAUUCCUACAACGCUUUACUUCUGUAUUAUACAUAUACAUCUAGAACACCUUACACCUGGAAAUGCAUCACUCUAAACAAGCUACAAUCAUAGAUAGUAAAUACUCAAAAAGAAAACCUGUGUUAAAAUACAGUUGACAUACAAGUAUAACAUUCAUUUGUGAAAAAUAUCCACAAUAAAUAUUGAGAUUAAAUGAAUGUGUUUCCUGUGUUAUCUGAUCUCCCUGGAAUUGAAACAUUUUAGAUCUUUGACAAUGAUUAUCUUUAUAAUGCACACCUUGCCUGACCAGUGAUGAGGAAAAAUGGAAGAUGACGAUGAGCAUGGGGUUUAUCGGGGCCUCUGCUUUACUCUGACAAUGUGGCACAUGCCAAAGGGUUUCUGGGGGACAUCUUUCUUCCUGUGACAAUGUGACAAAAGGUGAGGGGUUACUGAUCUCCUCUGCUUUCCUGUGACAAUGUGACACAAGCUUAAGGGUUAUUGGGGACCUCUGUGUUAAUUGGACGUGAUAAGGGUUUCAAGGGACAUCCUCCUUCCUCUGACAAUGUGACAAAAGGGGAGAGGUUACUGGGGACCUCUGUUUCUCUGACAAGGUGACACAUGCUAAAGGGUUCCUAGGGACAUCUUUCUUUGUCUGACAACGUGACCAAAGGUGAGAGGUUACUCGGGACCUCUGCUUUCCUCUGACAACACCUGCUAAGGGGUUGCUGGGGACCUUCCUUUUUCUACAAUGUGACACUCAGGGAACCUCUACUUAAGACAAUGACAUACACACUAAGUGGUGAGUGGGGGACCUCUGUCUUCCUUUAACAAUGCGGCAUCUGUUGAGAAUGUUUCAUUUCAUGAUGUUCUAAGUUUCUGUACAUGAAGGCGUAUAUUAUCAGAUCCCACACAUUCCUAGAAAUCAUGAGGGACAGGGGGCAGGGAUUGGGUUCAAGGUGCAGAUUUUUGAAGCAUGAUUCACAAUUUUCAAGUCCUGUCCCUUCCAAAAUGACAUAGCCAGGGAUAUGCUUAUAUGCAACACACACUCACUGUUUAGAUAGUUUCAUUUCUACAUGGCCAAACUGAUUUGCUAAACAAACCAAAUUCAAAGCAGUUUAAGAAGUGUUUGCUUUGUUACUUUCGACACCUUGCAUCAGUUAAUUGUGCAUAUUUGACUGUUUAUUAUAAACUUUUUACCCAUUGCUAAUGCUGACCCACAACCCCCACCACCCCCCGUUAUUUUACUGACGUCAAAUGUUCCUUUCCUAGCUCACCAUGAUAACGUCAUAUCAAAGAAAGAAAAUUGUAACAGUAGAAACUGUUACAUUGCAACAUUGCAGAUGUUGCACUAAGAUCAAUUUUUGUCGUAACUAUUUGGCUUCAUGUCCUGCGGCAUACUAGUGCUACAUCUUCCAUGAAUAAUGGGACUGAAACAUAAGCCGCUUCCCUCAUUGUUUGGGUGCUCGUCUGUCAGAAAAGUCCUGCUGAAAAGUACAACUGCACAUUUAGCUGUACGUUAUUUGUUACAGUUUGAUUUUAAAAAUAAGACUGUAAUUCAACAACUUUGAUUUUGGCAUCAAUCACCAGCCCAUUUCAGCAUCAAAAUCCGACUAAUUCUCCAUUGAGCAUGGAGCUUGCACAAAAUGCAAGACGAUGUUAAUAGCUUUGUUUUAUCACGUGUCUAGUACAUAUAACACACUAAGUCAAAAUUUAAUCUGGAAUUCUUACUACGCUAUUGGACAUGCUGUGCUAGAGAAACCGAAAAGAAAUGAUGUUGCAUCACUCUUAUCUUUGGCUCAUAUUGCUAAAGGGCAAAGUAGUGUCUGCACGACGACCGUAGAAAAAGGUUGGUGCUCGGAUUACAGAAACAAGUCGUUCCUUGUUGGUUUAAAUUGAUAAGAUGGCGCUGCCUUUGAUUUUCCCACAGUGCACAAUUUUGCUCACUUUGAGCUGCUAAAGUUCGGAGUCUGCGGGAUACUUUGUCUUUGCUCAAAUUUGGUCGUGGCAGUAUCAUUUAAGGGAGGCAGUGUUGCCCACCAGAUUGAAAAGUGGCCGUGGAGGUGAUGCCACCCAUCAGACUGACAGACUGACUAACUGAUUAUGGGUUACUUCCAGCACAUUUCCUCAGACACGAAUUGCCAAAUGAUUGCAGCUGCUAUCUGAUUAUUUCUGGUGAAUUUUGCUUUUCUUGGCCCCUCUAUUAAUGUGGUCAGUGCUUACAAUGUCUUAAUUCAGCUUUUAUGCUUACCAACUUUUUUAGCUCUCAAUAGUUAACGUGUAUUAUCACAAAUGAGAUACCUGUGUACAGCAAUGUCAUGCUGAAAACAGUGAGACAAAAGAAAUGUGACGAUGUCAAGGGAAAAUGCUUGUGACAGUGGCAGCUUUGAGUGUCACUAUUAAAAGGGUAUGAAUGAAGGACCAGCUGUGAGAGUCUGCAAAAUAGUACCCAUGUCUCCAGGAGACGUGAGGUAGCAAAAGACUGUAAUGAUUGUUUCUGACAAGACAUGAAUGUAAGUGAGGGGGAAGAAAAGGUGUCAUGGG